CGAUUUCGGUCAAAUCAUGUGGCAUUCGAGUGGCGGACGGGUGAGUAACGCGUGGGUAACCUGCCUUACACAGGGGGAUAACACCUGGAAACAGGUGCUAAUACCGCAUAAGCGCACAGGGCCGCAUGGCCCGGUGUGAAAAACUCCGGUGGUGUAAGAUGGACCCGCGUCUGAUUAGCUUGUUGGCGGGGUAGGGGCCCACCAAGGCGACGAUCAGUAGCCGGCCUGAGAGGGUGGACGGCCACAUUGGGACUGAGACACGGCCCAAACUCCUACGGGAGGCAGCAGUGGGGGAUAUUGGACAAUGGGGGAAACCCUGAUCCAGCGACGCCGCGUGAGUGAAGAAGUAUUUCGGUAUGUAAAGCUCUGUCAGCAGGGAAGAAAGAAAUGACGGUACCUGACCAAGAAGCCCCGGCUAACUACGUGCCAGCAGCCGCGGUAAUACGUAGGGGGCAAGCGUUAUCCGGAAUUACUGGGUGUAAAGGGAGCGUAGACGGUGAUGCAAGUCUGGAGUGAAAGGCGGGGGCCCAACCCCCGGACUGCUCUGGAAACUGUGUAACUUGAGUGCAGGAGAGGUAAGCGGAAUUCCUAGUGUAGCGGUGAAAUGCGUAGAUAUUAGGAGGAACACCAGUGGCGAAGGCGGCUUACUGGACUGUAACUGACGUUGAGGCUCGAAAGCGUGGGGAGCAAACAGGAUUAGAUACCCUGGUAGUCCACGCCGUAAA
rnacentral:rRNA from 1 species